GGCGAGUUAGCUCAGUUGGUAGAGCACGUAGAAACCCAAGAUUCAAGUACUUGAAUCUUACAGCAACAAUAACUCAUACACUUUUAAUGUCGUGGUCGUUGGUUCGAAUCCAACACUCGCCGCCA
rnacentral:tRNA from 4 species